GUUGUAUGGUUAAGUGACUAAGCGUACACGGUGGAUGCCUUGGCAGUCAGAGGCGAUGAAGGACGUGCUAACCUGCGAAAAGCUGUGAGAAGUCGGUAAGAGACGUUAGACUCACAGAUGUCCGAAUGGGGAAACCCACCUGAUUUAUCAGGUAUCGUUACAUGAAUACAUAGUGUAACGAGGCGAACCGGGAGAACUGAAACAUCUAAGUACCCCGAGGAAAAGAAAUCAACCGAGAUCCCCUUAGUAGCGGCGAGCGAACGGGGGCUAGCCCUUAAGUUGGUAAAGCGUUAGUGGAACGCUCUGGAAAGUGCGGCGAUACAGGGUGAUAGCCCCGUACACGAAAAGGCUUUAUCAAUGAA
rnacentral:rRNA from 1 species